AUGGGAGAGUCCGCGCUGUGGGGUGACAUCGAAUCCCUUUGCUGCUCAUCUGACCCAACACCACCUCCCAGCACACAGUUCUCUUGCUCCGACACCGGCUUUUUGGGAGGGGACACUAAAGAAAUAGGAUUAAUGGAAACUGAUGACCAUGAGGAUGAGGCUGUAGGAGCUGAUGCCCCCGGUGAAGACUUCGUUUAGAUCCCUCUGCAGCAGAAACUGCUUCAGCACAAAGAUCAGAUGCACACUGCGGACCUGGAUUCCAAAUGUUCGUUUUGAGGGGGUAACACACAGCAGGUGAUGUUCAUCAUCCCAGUAUCUGAAUGCUGCCCAGGCCCCACCGGUAACAGCAAUUUCCCAAGCCAUUAAACACUACGGUGGAGGAGUGGCAGGCAGGAUAACCAGCACCUUCUGGGAUGCGUAUGUAUUUCUUUUUAAAGAGUGUCUUGCAUAAUGCCUGCCCCCAACCUCUACUACUCACGUGCAGCAUGUGACAUAGCCAAAGAAACUCCCCCCUAGAGCAAACUAUGUGUCGGCUAGGAUAUGCAGCUCGCCAUAAAACACACUCGGGCACACGCACAGAUGCUCACUCCCACUGUACGCCUGCAGAAAUCCAAUCUCUUCUUCCUAUCUUUUCCAUUUUACACUGCAUGAAACACGGGCACUGACAAAGCACACUGAAUAGGUUAUUCCUCUCAUCUCUCAUGUCACGGACUCAGCUCGAGCCGAGUGCCGACACCGACUAUGUGUCAGCGUGCGUGUCGUUUCAAGGCUGGUUUGCCUCAUUGUCAGCUUUUAUGGGAUUACAACAUUGGUGACAACUGGACCAUAGCUGACAGACGCCUAAAAAAUGCACACGAACAAACACACACACAUGCACAGAAACAACAACACAGGAGAAGCUGGAGAAGCCACCAAUAUGCUCACGGGCAUAACGGUAAUAGGAAAUAAUAUUAAGGAAGCAGGCAGUUGUCUGAGGCUGCAUGUGGCUUGAAUAGUAAUGAGGCUGCAGUAUGUUCCAGAUAUUUAACCCACAUUAGUGGGAAGCUGCGUUUACAAUGUCAGCAGCCAUUACAUUGUUUCUACAUGUGAGCAUAUUGCCUGUGGUGCGCUGCCCCCACUGUGCAGUUAGGUACAGUAAUAACAAGGACAUCAUUAGAAUGAACCCACUGAUUAUCAUCUAACCACAGAGCAGGUUCAAAACUGCAAAUCUGGGCCAUCAACUUUAUAUGCAGCCUGUGGUCUGAACCUGUACCAUCUGAAUGCAAGAUGGGGGGAUUAAAAGAGUUUAAACCUAGGAGAUAUAGGUGUGUUAAUAUGCGCCAUCUACAGGCAAAGAGAACAUCUAUUCAAACUGCUGUCCAUCGCCUACAUUCUAGGUGCAAAGGAGGGAUCCUGCACCAUUUACAAAAUUAUAACCAAGGGAUUUUAAGACCUCAGUAAACACAAAGGAAGACUAAGAUAUCAUACUGCUAGUUAUGACAGGGCAGAAAUCAGUGCAACACAAAGUAUGCUUUUUUUUCUUCACACAUGACAAUAAACUGAAUAUUUCUGUUAAAGUUACAAUGUUAAACAAUUCGACAUAAAACAGAAACUUUAUAAUAUAAAGUUCACCUGAAAUUUUACACAAAAUCUAAGACUAGGACUUCAUGUUUCCUUUAAUUUCAGACUUUUUGAGACAUUUUUCUUUUCUCUUGCGAGAACCUCGUACAAAGUCUUGUCCUAUCUGUGGGAGGCAAGACUGGAGCCAUAAAUAAACAAAUAAAUAACCAAAGCAGCUAUUACAUCACCGGCUGGCUUAGGACUCCAUGUUGUUUUUUCCCCUUUUAUAGCCAGCAGUGACCAUAUUUGAAGAAGAGGGUGGAUCGCUAACUUAUCAGCUGGACUUGACUGUUUUGAACCCUUCGUCAUUUUCACUGUUGCUUCCAAUGGUCACUCAUACAAUAGCAACUUAUCAAUCACAAGGUUGAUCCAGUCAUGAAAAUUUCAUGCUUUAUCCUUUUUUUCCCUCUUAUUGGGUCCACAGUUUACAAAAUGAACAUCUUAUUGUUUUCAAUAAAUCUUGACAGUAGACUUCCACGCUGGCUUCACGUUUCACAUCGGAAAGCUGUGUCCAUCUUUUAUAUACAGUCUAUGGCUUGCAAGACAGGCAGAAUAUGAAGCAGUGUCUUGUUAUCUUACUUUUCUACCACAGAUGUGUUUGUUUGCAUGCAGCAGUCUUAAAGGCUGAAGGUUGUUAAUGCUGCUUAGCUGUUGCUUUUCCAUGUUACAUUAAAUUAUAUAGCAUGUGUAUAUUAAAUAUUACUUGUAUCCGGAGCCUGUGUGUCUAAGUUUGGGACCAACAAGCCAUUACACAGUGCAUGAAGAUGAAUAGUAUUACAGGCAAAUGGCGCGCUCAGUUGUAAAUACUGUCUGUGUAAUAUAGUGAUGCAAUUACAAGGAGCCCAGACAGAGGAUGCACAACUAGAAAAAACACCCUGGAAAAAAAAAAAAAAAAAAAAAAAAAAAGAGAGAGAAGGUGGGGGCAUGAAGGAUGUCACUCUGCAAAGCAGCCAUCAUUUAUCAUCACACUCAGAUGCAGCAGUCAAAGUAUUUAUUGGUGACAAAGUGUAAAAAUCCCUUUAUAAAAUUCCUAAAGACAUGACCUCAGUUGUGACAGGAAAAUAACCUCAUCAGGAAAUGAGUGAGCAAACUUCUUUUUUUUUUUUUAAGAUAACUGCACUUCUUUUGAAA